rnacentral:tmRNA from 1 species
GGGGGUGCCCUGGUUUCGACGGGAGGUGUACGUAGGUCGUACUGCAGGUGGAGCGCCAACUCCUUAAACUAGCGCACAACUUUAAGUGCCAGAAAAAAAGAAGAUGAGUUUGUCGUCGAAUUAGAUGACACCCUCGCCCUAGCGGCUUAAUAUAGGCUGCUACGGAUCUCCGUCACGCUGUUCCGAGGGACGGAUGCUCCAUCAUAAAACGGAACUCACCUAUGCGGCGGCCCAGAGCCGUAUAGGAAAAAACAUCUGAGGAUAAGGUUCGGUGGGUCGUCGGCCACUCAUACCGAACACGAAAACUGCCGGCCGACUAAACCUGUAGAUGUGCGUCAAACGCCCUUCCGGACGGGGGUUCGAU